UACGGAGGGUGCAAGCGUUAAUCGGAAUUACUGGGCGUAAAGCGCACGCAGGUGGCUGAGUCAGUCGAUUGUGAAAGCCCUGGGCUUAACCUAGGAAUUGCAGUCGAUACUACUCGGCUAGAGUAUGGGAGAGGGCAGUGGAAUUCCCGGUGUAGCGGUGAAAUGCGUAGAGAUCGGGAAGAACAUCGGUGGCGAAGGCGCUCUGCUGGACCAUAACUGACACUCAGGGACGAAAGCUAGGGGAGCGAAUGGG
rnacentral:rRNA from 1 species